CCUACGGGGCGCAGCAGUGAGGAAUAUUGGUCAAUGGACGAGAGUCUGAACCAGCCAAGUAGCGUGAAGGAUGACUGCCCUAUGGGUUGUAAACUUCUUUUAUAUGGGAAUAAAAUGUUCCACGUGUGGGAUUUUGUAUGUACCAUAUGAAUAAGGAUCGGCUAACUCCGUGCCAGCAGCCGCGGUAAUACGGAGGAUCCGAGCGUUAUCCGGAUUUAUUGGGUUUAAAGGGAGCGUAGGUGGAUUGUUAAGUCAGUUGUGAAAGUUUGCGGCUCAACAGUGAAAUUGCAGUUGAAACUGGCAGUCUUGAGUACAGUAGAGGUGGGCGGAAUUCGUGGUGUAGCGGUGAAAUGCUUAGAUAUCACGAAGAACUCCGAUUGCGAAGGCAGUUCACUGGACUGCAACUGACACUGAGGCUCGAAAGUGUGGGUAUCAAACAGGAUUAGAUACCCCAGUAGUC
rnacentral:rRNA from 1 species